GGGCCCGCACAAGCGGUGGAGCAUGUGGUUUAAUUCGAUGAUACGCGAGGAACCUUACCAGGGCUUAAAUGCAGAACGACAGAGGUGGAAACACCUCCUUCUUCGGACGGUCUGCAAGGUGCUGCAUGGUUGUCGUCAGCUCGUGCUGUGAAGUGUCGGGUUAAGUCCCAUAACGAGCGCAACCCCUAUUUCUAGUUGCCAGCGGUUCGGCCGGGGACUCUAGAGAAACUGCCAGCGUAAGCUGUGAGGAAGGUGGGGAUGACGUCAAAUCAUCACGGCCCUUACGUCCUGGGCUACACACGUGCUACAAUGGUAGGGACAGAGAGUUGCCAACCCGCGAGGGUGAGCUAAUCUUCAAAGCCGGUCUCAGUUCGGAUCGCAGUCUGCAACUCGACUGCGUGAAGCUGGAAUCGCUAGUAAUCG
rnacentral:rRNA from 1 species